rnacentral:rRNA from 1 species
AUGAACGCUGGCGGCGUGCUUAACACAUGCAAGUCGCACGGAAAGGCUCCUGCUUGCAGGGGUACUCGAGUGGCGAACGGGUGAGUAACACGUGGGUGAUCUGCCCUGCACUUCGGGAUAAGCCUGGGAAACUGGGUCUAAUACCGGAUAGGACGAUGGUUUGGAUGCCAUUGUGGAAAGUUUUUCGGUGUGGGAUGAGCUCGCGGCCUAUCAGCUUGUUGGUGGGGUAAUGGCCUACCAAGGCGUCGACGGGUAGCCGGCCUGAGAGGGUGUACGGCCACAUUGGGACUGAGAUACGGCCCAGACUCCUACGGGAGGCAGCAGUGGGGAAUAUUGCACAAUGGGCGCAAGCCUGAUGCAGCGACGCCGCGUGGGGGAUGACGGCCUUCGGGUUGUAAACUCCUUUCGCUAGGGACGAAGCGCAAGUGACGGUACCUGGAGAAGAAGCACCGGCUAACUACGUG